UAGGGAAUAUUGGACAAUGGGCGAGAGCCUGAUCCAGCCAUGCCGCGUGCAGGAAGAAGGCCUUCUGGGUUGUAAACUGCUUUUGCCAGGGGAUAAAAGACCCGUGCGCGGGGAAUUGAAGGUACCUGGUGAAUAAGCCACGGCUAACUACGUGCCAGCAGCCGCGGUAAUACGUAGGUGGCAAGCGUUGUCCGGAUUUAUUGGGUUUAAAGGGUGCGUAGGCGGUUCUAUAAGUCAGUGGUGAAAUACGGCAGCUCAACUGUCGAGGUGCCAUUGAUACUGUAGAACUUGAGUACAGACGAGGUAGGCGGAAUUGACGGUGUAGCGGUGAAAUGCUUAGAUAUCGUCAAGAACACCGAUAGCGAAGGCAGCUUACUAGACUGUAACUGACGCUGAGGCACGAAAGUGUGGGGAUCAAACA
rnacentral:rRNA from 1 species